rfam:Hordeum vulgare subsp. vulgare, WGS project CAJW01000000 data, contig: morex_contig_54459
GAAUGGACGCGGUAUUGGUGCGGUUCAAUCAGAAAGCUGGCGCCCCCGGAGGCAAGGGGUUCCGCUCUUCGAUUGAGCCGUGCCAAUAUCACGCGGUUCCUC